rnacentral:rRNA from 1 species
UACGUAGGGGGCAAGCGUUGUCCGGAUUUAUUGGGCGUAAAGAGCUCGUAGGCGGCUCGGUAAGUCGGAUGUGAAACCUCCAGCUCAACCUGGAGACGCCAUCUGAUACUGCCCGCGGCUCGAGCACUGUAGAGGCAGGCGGAAUUCCGGGUGUAGCGGUGGAAUGCGUAGAGAUCCGGAAGAACACCGGUGGCGAAGGCGGCCUGACUGG